AUGCUUAAAAUAGAUCUUGCUAAAGCUUUUGAUAGGAUAGAAUGGUGUUUAAUCAAGAGAGUCUUGCUACGUAAAGGGUUGCAUGGUCAUUUUGUAGAUUUAGUAUUUGGAUGCAUUUCUUCUGCCACCUUUUCAGUUAACACUAACAGACGGCCAUUUGGUAGCAUUAUGGGAUACUGAGGUAUCUGACAAGGUUGUCCUCCGUCACCAUAUCUUUUUAUUCUCGUUGUCAAUGAGUUGCCACUUUCUAUGCAAGAUGCUUUAAAUGCCAAUCGUUUGAGCAAUAUCUAUCUAGGACCUUGUCCCCCUAUCCAUUCUUUAAUUUUUGUAGAUGAUUUGAUCGUUUGCGGGGCAGACAAUAAUGAUGCUCAUAAUAUUGCUAGAAUUAUUAAUCAAUUUUGUGUUCCCCUGGUCAAACUCCUAAUUGGAACAAAUUUGCUACCUUAUUCAGCAAACAUGUGGAAAAUUCUCUUAAAGACUCUGUUAAGCCAGAUAUGGAUCUUGAUACUACCCAUCUUGGUCAUCCUCUCAUCCUUCGAGGUAGGAAUAAAGUUGCUACCUACAACUUAA
rnacentral:rRNA from 1 species